CUAACACUUAAGGGUAACACAGGAAAACACCUUCUCAAAUUUAAAUCUCCUCUCUCCUUCGAGAAGAAUCUUUCGAACUCGAGAAAGCUCUCAAAAACCCCCUCUCCAGUCUUAAGUCCUGGCUGAAAGAGAAAAAAAAUGAGCCGAGCAAGUCGAACACUUUACGUCGGGAAUCUUCCUGGCGAUAUUCGCCUGAGGGAAGUUGAAGAUUUGUUUUAUAAGUAUGGGCCCAUUGUCGACAUUGAUUUGAAAAUCCCGCCAAGGCCUCCAGGCUAUGCUUUUGUUGAGUUUGAAGAAGCUCGUGAUGCUGAAGAUGCAAUUCGUGGCCGGGAUGGAUAUAAUUUUGAUGGGUGUAGAUUACGGGUUGAGCUUGCCCAUGGUGGGCGAAGACAUUCAUCACCAGUGGAUCAUUAUAGCAGUUACAGUGGUAGCAGUGGUAGCCGUGGGCCUUCCAAGCGCUCUGACUAUCGUGUGUUAGUGACUGGAUUGCCUUCUUCUGCUUCAUGGCAAGACCUAAAGGAUCAUAUGCGUCGAGCUGGUGAUGUCUGCUUUUCUCAAGUCUUUCGUGAUCGUGGUGGCAUGACAGGAAUUGUGGACUACACAAACUAUGAUGACAUGAAAUAUGCUAUCAAGAAGCUUGAUGACUCUGAGUUCCGGAAUGCAUUUUCAAGGGCAUAUAUUCGGGUGAGGGAGUAUGAUUCUAGACGGAGUUACUCUAGGAGCCCCAGUCGCAGUUCAUAUGUGUCAAGAAGCCGGAGUCGAAGUCGCAGUGGAGGCUAUAGUGACAGGAGCUGGAGCAAGUCUCCCAGGGCAAAACAUUCACGACGUUCUCGAUCUGUAUCUGUUUCUUCUCGCUCUCGUGCAGGAUCAUCUCCACGAUCUUUUUCAAGCGACCUGACCACCUGGGGGAUUGGAUGUUAAGGACUUGAUGGGAUGUGGUGGUCAUAUGCUUGCACCUCUUUGCUUGUUUUGAGGUAAUGCUGUUUUUGUUGAUGAGCACCUCUGGAAAAUCCUCAUAAUCUCGUAAUGCUAUUAAGUUGGUUCCUAAUAAUCUCACAAUGCUAUUAAGUUGGUGUGUCAAUUAGCAUUAGAAUUGAUGAAGCUUGGAUGGGAUUAUGAUUUUAAAGCUGGAUUACUGUGAAGUAAGCACUAUUGGUGCCACCCGUCCAUCAGUGGUACAAAGAAGCUUGAAACUGCUUCGACAUUACCCUUAACCUGUGUUUGGUAUUCUCCUUGGAUUUGGUGAUACCGACAAGGAGGAUGUAGCUCUUCUUUCUUCUGGUCCCUUUCAAGAUCAAGAUCUCCUCUUGCUUCUCCUCCUCGCAGAAAACAUGGCCACAGAACCCCAAGCAUAAGCCCUGGUCGUGUAUCCCGUUCGCCUUCU